rnacentral:rRNA from 1 species
UCGCCUGUUUAUCAAAACAUAGCCUAAAGUAUGUAUUUUAGGUGGACAUCUGCUCAGUCGUACUUAUAUAAAUAGCCGCGGUACCUUGACCGUGCUAAGGUAGCGUAAUCAGUUGGCUUUUAAAUGGAGUCGGGUAUGAAUGAAAACACGGAGCUAAACUGUCUCAAAUCUCGUUUUAUUGAAUUUACUGUGUAGGUGAAAAAGCCUAUAGAAAUAUAAAAGAAGAGAAGACCCUUAGAAUUUUUACAAAAAUAGGUUUUUCCUAAAACGUUUUUGUUGGGGCAACAAGGAAACAAAAAACUUUCCUAAAUAAAAUGUGACGAUUUUAAUAAGAGUGGUUAAAUUACCUGAGGGAUAACAGCAUAAUUUUAUAAUUUAGUUUGUGACCUCGAUGUUGGACUAGGAAAUGGGUAGACUAGCCGUUUACUAUAUUGGUUCUGUUCGAACUUUGUUUUCCUACGUGAUCUGAGUUCAGACCG